rnacentral:rRNA from 1 species
AAUCAACGCUGGCGGCGUGCCUCAGACAUGCAAGUCGAACGAUUAAAGCUCUCUUCGGAGAGUGUAUAGAGUGGCGCACGGGUGAGUAACACGUAAGUAAUCUACCUUCGAGUGGGGAAUAACGUUCGGAAACGAACGCUAAUACCGCAUAAUGCAGCGGCAUCGCAAGAUGACAGUUGUUAAAGGAAUUUAUUUCGCUUGAAGAGGAGCUUGCGGCAGAUUAGCUAGUUGGUAAGGUAACGGCUUACCAAGGCUACGAUCUGUAUCCGGUCUAAGAGGACGGUCGGACACACUGACACUGAAUAACGGGUCAGACUCCUACGGGAGGCAGCAGUCGGGAAUUUUGGGCAAUGUGCGAAAGCCUGACCCAGCAACGCCGCGUGAAGGAUGAAGUAUUUCGGUAUGUAAACUUCGAAAGAAUGGGAAGAAUAAAUGACGGUACCAUUUAUAAGCUCCGGCUAACUACGUGCCAGCAGCCGCCGCCGUAA